rnacentral:rRNA from 1 species
UACAGAGGUCUCAAGCGUUGUUCGGAUUCAUUGGGCGUAAAGGGGUGCGUAGGUGGCGCCGUAAGUCGGGUGUGAAAUUUCGGAGCUUAACUCCGAAACUGCAUUCGAUACUGCGGUGCUUGAGGACUGGAGAGGAGACUGGAAUUCAUGGUGUAGCAGUGAAAUGCGUAGAGAUCGUAAGGAAGACCAGUGGCGAAGGCGGGUCUCUGGAAAGUUCCUGACACUGAGGCACGAAGGCCAGGGGAGCAAACGGG